GUCAGGAUAGCUCAGCUGGUAGAGCAGAGACUAAAAAUUCUCGUGCCGCCAGUUCAAAUCUGGUUCCUGACG
rnacentral:tRNA from 1 species